GAUGAACGCUAGCUACAGGCUUAACACAUGCAAGUCGAGGGGUAACAAGAGAAAAGCUUGCUUUUCUUGUUGGCGACCGGCGCACGGGUGAGUAACGCGUAUCCAACCUGCCUAUAACUAGGGAAUAACCUUGCGAAAGUAAGACUAAUACCCUAUGAUUUCCUUUGAUGGCAUCAGAUUAGGAAUAAAGAUUUAUCGGUUAUAGAUGGGGAUGCGUCUGAUUAGCUUGUUGGCGGGGUAACGGCCCACCAAGGCAACGAUCAGUAGGGGUUUUGAGAGGAAGGUCCCCCACAUUGGAACUGAGACACGGUCCAAACUCCUACGGGAGGCAGCAGUGAGGAAUAUUGGUCAAUGGGCGGAAGCCUGAACCAGCCAAGUAGCGUGCAGGAUGACGGCCCUAUGGGUUGUAAACUGCUUUUAUACAGGAAUAAAGUUAGCCACGUGUGGUUAUUUGUAGGUACUGUAUGAAUAAGGACCGGCUAAUUCCGUGCCAGCCGCCGCAGUAA
rnacentral:rRNA from 1 species